rnacentral:rRNA from 1 species
UGGGGAAUAUUGCACAAUGGGCGAAAGCCUGAUGCAGCAACGCCGCGUGAGUGAUGAAGGCCUUCGGGUUGUAAAGCUCUGUCUUUUGGGACGAUAAUGACGGUACCAAAGGAGGAAGCCACGGCUAACUACGUGCCAGCAGCCGCGGUAAUACGUAGGUGGCAAGCGUUGUCCGGAAUUACUGGGCGUAAAGAAUGCGUAGGUGGAUAUGCAAGUCAGAUGUGAAAUACCCGGGCUUAACUUGGGUGCUGCAUUUGAAACUAUAUAUCUAGAGUGCAGGGGAGGAAAGCGGAAUUCCUAGUGUAGCGGUGAAAUGCGUAGAGAUUAGGAAGAACACCAGUGGCGAAGGCGGCUUUCUGGACUGUAACUGACACUGAGGCAUGAAAGCGUGGGGAGCAAACA